rnacentral:lncRNA from 1 species
CUCGGGGCCGGGUCUCUGGCGAUUCAGGCCUUUUGCUAAGCGUCGUGACGUGCACGUGACCCCAUUGGACCAGCCUUUCCUGCAUGAAUUCUUGACAACUUUCAAGAUCCAGAUGGGAAGAGGGCAGUGCUAUAGGAGGGGAGACCACUGGUGACAUGCCAGGCGGAUCCAAAACCAAGCAGAAGCGCUCAGAAGCACCCUUGUCAGAACACUGGGAGAGAGAGACGUUGACAGCCACCAACCGAAUGCUGAACGAAGGCGGAGGAAACUGGAAAAUGAAUGCUAUGGUGAAUGCCACCGAGUCCAUGGGGACAGUAAUGAGAAAAUGAAGAUGGAUGCUUCUUGGAGCUCAGCUAACGGCUUUGCUCUGGUUCCAUCAUCUGCCUUUAAUGAUUCUGGUUCCCCUAUGGAGAUCAUUGGUUUUCAGCAAGGUCCAGUGAAGAGGCAGAGAACUGAGUUAGCUGUGUCGUCUUAGUGGAGGAAGAACUUUGGACAGACUUCUACGCUUCCCACCCUCUGACACCUGUAGAAAAUCGUCAUUCUAGUCCAGAGAUAUUUUAAAGUACAGAGGACACGAGUGCACAUAAGACGUGAUCCCUCCCCUCGAGCUGCUCACCUCUAGAAGACAGAUGAAAGAGGACAAAGUUAUCGGUUUCCCCCUGGACUCCUGCAAACUCUACCUGGAAGAAGAAUCUGUUCUCCAUCUCUGAGGCAGUGGUUCUCACACAUGCUCAUCACAAGAGUCCCUCAAAGGGGCAGAGUCCCAGCUGGAAUCAGGAAAUGUGAUCACAGAAGCCAGGUCAGAGUGAUGUGCCUGUUGGCUUCAAAGACGGAGGAAAGGGGCCAUGAGCCAAAGGAUGUGAGCAGCCUCUAGAAGCUGGACAAGGCAAAGAUUCUCUGCCAGAGACUCUGAAAGGAACAGAGCUCCGCCGACAUCUGCGUUAGCCCAGUGAGACUCUUUUUGGACAUCUGGACUAGAGAAUGGAGCCGGUGCCUUCAUCUCUGUAACUAAGACCUGACACGUCCAUGGGGUCCAGCGGGAGGACAGGUGAACUGCUUUGGCUAUUGUGCGUGCUGCGGCUGGAGCCCGCUCAGCAUUCCAUUGGCACGGCGUUUAGAACCUGAGUCUCUGCAAACAUGAUUAAAGGAAAGGAGUUACUAGUUUUUCCUCUCUUCUGGCUGUUAUCUGGGAAGCUCUGAACUCAGAGGAGUUGCCGAGUGGGGGUGUCCUGCAUGAAAGAAGAUGGGAAGGAAAGAACUCCCCAUUUCACCUUCCUAAGCAGUGGAGGAAGGGGAUCAGAAACAGCAAGUGCUGAUGAAAACUCCACUUCCAAAUACAUUCCAUGGCUUAUUUGUGGAGGGAAAUGCUUUUUACCUUUUGAACUUUCAGAUACCUGGCAAAAGCAAAUGGGUCCUCAGGGGGACAGAGAGGUGUAAAUGGAAGCUCCUGUAAACGACUGUUGGCUUUCCCCCCAGGUUCUCUGGAUCCAGCAGCCCAAACUAAGACAAGAGGGAAUGAUGAUGCAACCAGGGUCCAAAUGGCACAUGCUGCAGACCUGCUGGUUGGCCUCCAGUCCCAGAUACUCCUGCCAUUAUUAGUAUGUGAAUCUUAUUUUACGACACAUUCUUUUCUAAGAGUCUUUUUUAUUCAAUUUUUUAUUAGGAAAGACAUUCACAUAACAUACACAUUUUUACGUGUCCCAGCCAUUUUAUUCCCAUCUUGUGAGAAUUUUUGCGUGUCUUGAAUCUGGAUUCUUAAUGUAAAUAUAAGUAAAUACAUAGUCUAUAUCAGGCUCUAAUGUUUUCUCUUUCUCAACUGGGAACAUGCUAUACACACUAUGUAGAACCUAAGUUUUUCUGUUAAUAAUAUUUCUUGGAGAGAUUUCUAUGUCAGGACACAAAGAGCCUUCUUGUUCUUUUUUCACAGCUUAAUAGUAUUCCAUGUAGGUUAUCUAAAAUCUUUUGCUACAUAAGCACUGCUUAAAGGAAUGGCCUUAUGUCUGUGCCAUUUUACACAUCAGGGUGAGCAUAUGCAUAGGGUAACUAUUUUAGAAGUAGAAUUGCUGAGUUAACAUGUGUGUGCAUUUAUAAUUUUGACAGAGUUUGCCAAAUUGCUUCCUUAGAAGUGGUAAUUAUUUAUAUGCCCCCUAGCACUUUAUGCAAGUGCCUGCUCACCCACAGUCUUGCCAGUACAGUUGGAUCUGAUAUGUGGAAAAUGUUAUCUGAAUCUAGUUUCACUUUGUAUUUAUUUUACUGAGUGAGUUUGAGCAUCUUUUCCCAUUUAGAAGCCAUUUUAGUUGCAUUUCCCUGAAGUUUCAAUUUAUAUAUUUUGCUUCUUUUUUUUUUUUUUUUCCCUUUUAGGGCUGCACCUGCAGCCUAUGGAGGUUCCCAGGCUAGGGGUGGGAUGAGAGCUGUAGCCUCCAGCCUAAGGCCACAGCAACAGCAACGUUAGAUCGAGCUGUGUCUGUAACCUACACCACAGCUCACAGCAACACUGGAUCCUUAACCCACUGAGCAAGGCCAGGGAUCACACCUGUGUCCUCAUGGUACUGGUCAGGUUGUUUCCACUGAGCCAUGACAGGAACUCCAUAUUUUGCAAUUUUUAAACUAAAUUAUUGAUUGUCUUCUUGAUGAUUUGCAGAAGCUUUUUCUAUAUUAAAGAAAUUAGUCCUUUGAGAAAUGUUUCAAACAUUUUUCUAUCUCUCUCUCUUUUUUUUUUUUUUUGUCUUUUUGCCUUUUCUGGGGCCGCUCCCACUGCUUAUGGAGGUUCCCAGGCUAGGGAUUGAAUCGGAGCUACAGCUGCCAGCCUACACCACAGCUCACAGCAACACUGGAUCCUUAACCCACUGAGCAAGGCCAGGGAUCGAACCUGCAACCUCAUGGUUCCUAGUUGGAUUCAUUAACCACUGAGCCACGAUGGGAUCUCCUCAAACAUUUAACUCUAUUUUCAUCUUUCCUCUGACUUUACCUAUGGCAUUUUUCUAUUUUUUUCUCCUUUUUCUUUUUUUAUGUAGUCACAUCUAUCAAUCUUUUUUUUUAAAAGCUUCUGUGUUUUGUGUCAUAACCACUCCAUAUGUGUAUAUCACACCAUUUAUCAACCAGUUGCCUUUCCUACAACUCAAGACUCAGAGAAGACGAAUCUUUAAGUCAAAACUACAAAAGGCAAAGUGUGGUUCAAAGCCCAAGAUACUCACAGGGGGGAAAAAAAAAUAUAUAUAUAUAUAUAUAUAUGAAAUUUUAAAGAACUUAAAAAUAAGCAGCAGUAGUUUUUCUUGUUUUGUCUGUUGAUGAUCCGUGGGUGCCUUCUCUAAUUCCAUUUUUGGCUGGAUCACUGGCCAGGUCAAAAAAGAAAAAGAGGGAGAAAAGAGGGGGAAAAAAACGCAAGCAAGAAGAAAGCAAGCCUACCUUGCCCUCUGAAGGUGUGGUGUGAACAAAUGAAUCAGGCAGAUUUGGAGAAGGGGAGGCAGCCAGGGUCUAUGGCCAGGGCUCCCCUCACCUAGGCAACAGUUGGUAGGCAGCCUUUGUGGCAGUGGCUAAAAUCUCUUCCAGGGCUUGGCUGGGACAGUAUCUGCUGAAUAACUAGGCCAGUCCUAGAGCCAAGAUCCACAGCUCAGCUGCCGUUGCUGCUGCUGAAGAAGGCUCAAAACUCAUUUUUUGCUGAGUCAAAUCUCUCUUCGGGGAUUUGGAAAACAAAUGAGGCUCUGAAAAGUGGAAAUUCUUCUGGAUCAUUCUUUGGGAAACAAUGCAGUGAGUCUCUUUGUUAUUUAUUUUUUCUUAAAUAAUAAAUUCAGUCAAAGGUAAAGACCCCACUUUCCUGAGGGAUCUGGGACCAACUUACCCUGGAAGAAAUUUCUCUACUUGUCGGCAAAAACAACAGGACCGGAGAAAUGCACGAUUGAGGAAAAGAAGAACACAGAGAAAGAAAAGCUAUAUGUUUGAAUAUGAAAGACAGAUGCAGACAGUUUUCCAUGCCAGCUAGUCUGCUGUGUAUAAAUAGGAGGAGCUCAAGGUAAACUACCAAGAAAAUGACUCAUCUGGGCAAGAAUAAGGAAAGAGAUCAAGUGUUCCUGAGUUAUUAGUGACUUGAAACUACACCCUUGUGCAGAGAAGCUUCAAAGCUGCAUUCUCUAAAAUGUGACCUCUGGUGAAAGCGUGACCCCAGCCAUGACGCUACGUAACCAGAGCCAGGCCAUCCCAGGGAACGUUAAUAUGUCUAGCCCGCAUACAUUUUUCAAGUUUUUUUUUUAAAGAUGAAGAAAACAACCUUAAGCCUUUCCUAAAGUGCUCUAACGAAAUUAUGCCUUAUUUGAAAAAGUUAAUUCUCCUCUCUGCCACCUCACCACUAACUCAGCAAAAAUUUGAUUCCUAGUAUGUGGGAAGCACCGUAAUAGGCUGUCAGAGGGAAUUCAAAGGUAUGAGGAAGGAAUUGGGGGGAUGGGAAUAACGUAUACACAUUAUUCUGUAAAAUAGAUGAUUACCCAGAGCCUACUGUAUAGCACGGGGACAUCGACUCAAUAGUUUGUAAUAACCCACAUGGAAAAAAGAACGGAUAUACUUUAUAUGUAAGACUGAUUCACUUUGCUGUACACCUGAAACCAGUACAUUGUAAGUCAACUAUCCUCCAAUAAAACUUAAAAACAAAAGAGAUAUGAGGAAGGGUUCCCUUCCUCCAAAUAUUUAUAACGUAAAAGGCAUGUGUAGGACCUGACGAAGAUGAAGACAAAGAUGAGAAGAAGGAGGGGGAGGGAGGAGAAGAAGAGAAAAAAGAGGAGGAACUACCGUGUGUUCCAGCAAUCCCACUCCUGGCACGUAACUGGAGAAAAGCAUAAUUCAAAAAGAUGUUCAUUGUAGCAGCAUGUCCAAUACCCAAGACGUGGAAACAACCUGCAUAUCCAUCGACAGAGGAAUGGAUAAAGAUGGUGAGGUACAGAUCUACAGUGCAAUAUUACUCAGCCAUAAAAAAAGAGUGAAAUAAUGCCCUUUGCAGCAACAUCGAUGCACCUAGAUGUUAUAACUGAGGUUAGGCAGACAGUGAAAGACAGAUAUCAUAUGAUAUCACUUAUAAGUGGAAUCUAAAAAAAAAAAGAAUACAAUGAACUCAUUUGCAGAAUAGAAACAGACUCACAGACUUUGAAAAAUUUAUGGUUACCAAAGGGCCAGGUGGGGGAAGGAGGGAUGGACGGGGGGUGUGGGAUUGACAGGUGCACACGGAGGUAUAUGGAUGAUUAGCCAGUGAGGACCUGCUGUACAGCACAGGGAACUCUAAUCAAUAUUCUGUGAUAACCUAGGUGGGGAAAGAAUCUGAGAGAGAAUGGAUGUGUGUUUAUGUAUAACUGAAUCACUUGGGUGCACAGCAGAAAUUAUCACAACCUUGUACAUCAAAAACUAUACUUCAAUAAAACUUCUUAAAAAAUGGAAAAAGUAUAAAGUAAAAUUAAAUAUAUAUAUAACUCCCCCCCCAAGAAAAGAGAUUAAGAGUAGGAGGAAAAAUAGGAGCUAUCAAAAGUUCUAGCACUUAUCACUAAGAGAUGAUGCAACUACAUUGUAUUGAAACAUAAUUACACUUCAUGAAACUCAAGGUCAAAACUAAAAUCAAGGCAUAUUUUACAGGCACCAACAGAGACCCUGGAUCAAACUGGCUCAUAGGCACAUGGCAUUUGUUUACAAAGGAUCCCAUUUAAGAAGAUCCCAUUCUUUUCUUCUCAUCUUCGAUUCUUAUUAAUGCCAUGGAUACCAUGAGUCAUGAUGAUUUACAACCUAAACAAUUUGGUUCUGAUUUUAAUAUAUGUCUCCAGAGUUGUCUCUUUUCUGGAUAUGUCACUUGUGGCUAGACAUUUGAUACUAUGCAUUAACUCGACUACAGGGUUUCUGCUUACUUAUAGCAAAUAGUGCCUCAGGCUUUUAUUUCCUGCAUAGAUCGUUUUCUUAUGGCUUCUGAUGCCUCGUGCCUUCUAUUUAUUCCCUGUUCCCUAAGGUUCUCUUGGUUUCCCCACGACUCUGCUGUCUACUGACUUCCUCUCAUAACAAACUUCUCAAGAAGGAUUGGCUCCGCCAUUUCCUUAACAGUAAAGAAGAGAUAUAUUCGGGGAUCAGGGGCCACCAGCCAAAAUAUACAUUGCUACCUUUGUAUCCGGUGCUUCUGUGGCCACAUCAUCUAAUCGCCGAUGAUCAGAACAGUGAACACAUGUGGUGAGAAGAAUUUCAGCAGAGGCGGAAGGCACCACCAGCAGCUUUCUGAAACGGAGCUGUGAGCACGAUGAAUUUAGAGACGAAAGGGACCUCCCUGCUUGGAGAAUUUUCCUAAGAAACAGUGGACUGUUCGCUCACGGGGCUCCAUGUGCUCUAAGUGUAGUUAUAGACCUCUUUCCUAUGUCAUGUCCCCUACUGGGAUGAAGUGUUAUUUUGACUGACUUGUCGAAUGCUGUGGCUUUAAGAGGGGUUGUGAUGUCAGUCCAUCCACUCUUACAGCUGAGUCAUCAGACAUUUACGGAUCAAGUGAACCUACUUGGUCACAUCUGGGAGUAAACCUAGAAUCUGUGGAUUCCCUUUACAGUGGCUUUCCACUGUCCAGUCUCUCUACUGUAUGUGAUCUUAAGGUAGCAAUUCAAAUAAAGUGCAGUGUAGUUUU